AAGCCGCACGAGUCCGAACGUCGCGAGUCGAACGCCGCGAGUCGAACGCUUUCAAUUUAUCGGGCGCGCUUCAUCUUAACCCCUUCGAAUAUUUCUUUUCCUUUUCGUAGUGAUGUUUGAAAGGUUUGUUAAUUGUUUCUCCUUGUGCGUGUUGCGUGUAAGUGAUGAAAUAAUGAAGUGGGAAAAAUGUGGUUGAUUAAUUGCUUUUUUGUGCUAUCCGGUAUGCAAGUGAUGGAAGAGUGUAGUAAAAAAAGUGACAAGUGUUUGGUUGAUUUCGUUAACCGUUUCUGCGCACUGUGUGGUGCGCAAGUGAUGGAAAAAUGCAGUAGAGAGAGAAAGAGAAAGAGAAUGAGAAGAGUCGAGUAGAGAAAGUGGGAAGUGUAACAAGGUAAGAUUCUUUCUCUUUUUAUAGGAAUAUUUAUUUUGUUUAAUUAAUUAUUUCUACAUGUUCUCUGGAGUGGAGAGAGUGAAAAGUAGAACUAUGCGAUAAUUAGAUAAAUAGAUAGUUGGAAUCAGAAUUCAAUUACUAACGUUACUGUAAUACAAUCGAUCGAGAUGAUAUACAAUUAAAUAUGAAAAUAUUUGAACAUUUAUUGUAAUGAAAGUUCGUACUAAUAAAAUUUCAAAAGUUUUCGUAUAAUUUUCGUGAUCUGUUGUAUGUAACGAAUUAGAUUGAUUUAGUCUUAUGUAGUUGUAUGCAUAGAGUAGAAAUACCGUAACGGGUGAUAGUAGGUUAGGUGUUAGUCGAGUAAUUGAUGGAUAAUUGAGUGGUUCAGGUGGUAAGUAGUACAGGUCAAUCGUGAGAACAUUAUUAGAAUUAUAAUAUACUGAACCUUUCAGCAAGUUGAUAUUGCAUUAAUAUUGUUUGCAAUUAUAAUAAAUAAAUGAAAGAUAUUAGUAUUGUAAAUGAAUCAUUUUAUUGCUUUUAUCAUUUUAUCUUAUUAUUCUAUUGUUUGUCAUAAUAGAUAGAUAGUAUUUAAAUAGGUUGGAGGAUAAUAUUAACAUUAUGAAUGAAUUAUUUCAUCUUCAUUCAUUAGUACAAGACAUUGUCAACCAAUGUUUGUUAUUAUUAAAAGUGCAAGAAUACAUGGAAUGAAAAAAUAUAUAAUUAUUCAAAAUAAAGGGCAUGUUACAAUCUAUAAUUAUAAUUUAAUAAGUGAAAUAAAUUCUCAUUUAGAUUUCACUUCUUUAUAAAAAUCUGCAUAAACAUCUCCAUUUAAUUAUUACAUAAAAUUCAAAGCAUAUUUUUUAUCAAAAUACUUUUAAUGGCUCUACCAAUAUAGAAAGAAAU